rnacentral:rRNA from 1 species
CAGCCGCCGCGGGAAUACGUAGGUGGCAAGCGUUGUCCGGAAUUAUUGGGCGUAAAGCGCGCGCAGGCGGAUCAGUUAGUCUGUCUUAAAAGUUCGGGGCUCAACCCCGUGAUGGGAUGGAAACUAGUAGGCUAGAGUAUCGGAGAGGAAAGCGGAAUUCCUAGUGUAGCGGUGAAAUGCGUAGAUAUUAGGAAGAACACCAGUGGCGAAGGCGGCUUUCUGGACGAAAACUGACGCUGAGGCGCGAAAGCCAGGGGAGCGAACGGGAUUAGAUACCCCCGUAGUCCCUGUCUCUUAUACA